UGGGGAAUUGUUCGCAAUGGGCGCAAGCCUGACGACGCAACGCCGCGUGGCGGAUGAAGAUCUUCGGGUCGUAAACUCCUUUCGAUCGAGACGAAUGGCCUUCGGGUGAACAAUCCGGAGGAAUGACGGUACCGAGAGAAGAAGCCCCGGCUAACUCCGUGCCAGCAGCCGCGGUAAUACGGGGGGGGCAAGCGUUGUCCGGAAUCAUUGGGCGUAAAGCGCGCGUAGGUGGCUUCGUAAGUCCGUUGUGAAAGUCAAAGGCUCAACCUUUGAAAGCCGAUGGAUACUGCGGAGCUAGAGUACGGAAGAGGCGAGUGGAAUUCCUGGUGUAGCGGUGGAAUGCGCAGAUAUCAGGAGGAACACCAAUAGCGAAGGCAGCUCGCUGGGACGUUACUGACACUGAGGCGCGAAAGCGUGGGGAGCGAAC
rnacentral:rRNA from 1 species